GCGAGCGGCGGAUGGGUGAGUAACACGUGGGGAACCUGCCCCUAAGUCUGGGAUACCAUUUGGAAACAGGUGCUAAUACCGGAUAAUAAAGCAGAUCGCAUGAUCAGCUUUUGAAAGGCGGCGUAAGCUGUCGCUAAGGGAUGGCCCCGCGGUGCAUUAGCUAGUUGGUAAGGUAACGGCUUACCAAGGCGACGAUGCAUAGCCGAGUUGAGAGACUGAUCGGCCACAUUGGGACUGAGACACGGCCCAAACUCCUACGGGAGGCAGCAGUAGGGAAUCUUCCACAAUGGACGCAAGUCUGAUGGAGCAACGCCGCGUGAGUGAAGAAGGUUUUCGGAUCGUAAAGCUCUGUUGUUGGUGAAGAAGGAUAGAGGUAGUAACUGGCCUUUAUUUGACGGUAAUCAACCAGAAAGUCACGGCUAACUACGUGCCAGCAGCCGCGGUAAUACGUAGGUGGCAAGCGUUGUCCGGAUUUAUUGGGCGUAAAGCGAGCGCAGGCGGAAAAAUAAGUCUAAUGUGAAAGCCCUCGGCUUAACCGAGGAACUGCAUCGGAAACUGUUUUUCUUGAGUGCAGAAGAGGAGAGUGGAACUCCAUGUGUAGCGGUGGAAUGCGUAGAUAUAUGGAAGAACACCAGUGGCGAAGGCGGCUCUCUGGUCUGCAACUGACGCUGAGGCUCGAAAGCAUGGGUAGCGAACAGGAUUAGAUACCCUGGUAGUCCAUGCCGUAAACGAUGAGUGCUAAGUGUUGGGAGGUUUCCGCCUCUCAGUGCUGCAGCUAACGCAUUAAGCACUCCGCCUGGGGAGUACGACCGCAGGGUUGAAACUCAAAGGAAUUGACGGGGGCCCGC
rnacentral:rRNA from 1 species